rnacentral:lncRNA from 1 species
AUCUAAUUAUUGUCGAGCCUGCAACUUUUGUUGCAGAAAGCUCGACAUAGGGAUAGUGAUCCGGCGGCGGCGGCGUUAGCUCACUUCUUAAAAAGCUUUAUAUUUUAGAAGGUGGAAGACCUGGAUGCUUCAUACUUUGUAUAUAGAUGCUUCAUGUUACGAAGUUUCCGUCAGUCACAUGUCCAAUGUCCUUGACCUCAUUUUCAUGGUUCAGUGACCACUUGAAAAAAAAAGUUCAAAUUUUUUGUAAUGUUGAAUUCUCUCUUAUUAUAAGUAAUAUGAUAACUAUAUUUGAUAUGUGCGUACCUUGCAAGGUCCUCGUGUCUGUCAGACAGUUUUCACUUGACCUCGACCUCAUUUCAUGGAUCAGUGAACAAGGUUAAGUUUUGGUGGUCAAGUCCAUAUCUCAGAUACUAUAAGCAAUAGGGCUAGUAUAUUCGGUGUAUGGAAGGACUGUAAGGUGUACAUGUCCAACUGGCAG